AAUCUUCUCAGCGUUUGGGCAGCUUUUGGCAUAGAAACCAAGCUGUAACUGAGCUUGAGUGGAGCCUAUGAGGCCUAGAAGACCAACAAUAGCGGCCAACACCAAAGAAGCGUCACUAAAGUUCGCAGCCCCAGGCCCUCAGCUAUAAACUAUGCUUAAAAAGUACCAAACAACUUGAUUGGCUCACCUGCUCUGGAAACAGAGCACGUUGUAAGACAAUUUUCAAGCAAUAAUUGCGCUCUUGCAUGGCGGCCAGACAUGAGAGCCGCCUUACAAAAGACAUUGUGGAUAGAGAGAAAUGGUUUCUUUAUUAUUUGAGAUGGUUCUAAUGUUCUAAGAGCUUGGGAGCCGGGAGGCACAUGCUUGGCCAUUCCAUAUCCGGAGGAAAAGGAGACAAUGAACCGGUAAACAGCAGCCUCAGAGGUUCAUAGUUUUAAAUUUUGAUGCAGCAGACCAAAAUUGACGGCCGUGUGCUCUCGGAAAAGGAUAACAAAAACAUUCCGAGAUCCCACAUCGAUUGGAGAAAAGAAUGAAACACUUGUAAGGGUGUGGAGUCUCUCCCUAUUAGACAUGUUUUGGGCCAAAGUGUGUAAUAUCUACUAGCGGUGGGCUUAAGCUGUUACAAAUGGUAUCUAAGCCAGACACUGGGCGGUGUGCCAGCGAAGACACUAGCCCCCGAUUGUGAGAUCUCACGUCGAUUGGAGAGAGGAACGAAACAUCCUUAGUGUGGAAACCUCUCCCUAUGGAUUGUGAGAUCCCUACAUCGAUUGGAGAUGAGAACAAGGGUGUAGAAACCUCUCCCUACUAGACGUGUUUUAGACUCGUGAGACUGAUUGUAAUAUGUAACUGACAAAAACGGAUAAUAUCUACUAACGAUGGACUUGAGCUGUUAUGGUAUGAACGUAUCAUAUGUUUUUUUCCAUAAGCAAUCAAAAGACUUUGAGUAA